rnacentral:tRNA from 1 species
GGGGCCGUAGCUCAAUGGCAGAGCGCACCCUUCGCAUGGGUGAGGUUGUGGGUUCGACUCCCAUCGGCUCCACCA